AAGUGCUGCUAAUGUCAGUUUGCAGACUACAUAGCUAAUUAGCAAGUCAGCUAUAGAAACUGCACAGCUUAAAAAUACUCUUGUUAAGGCUGGCUGAUAUGUAGAUUUAACUAGAUUCAUUCAAAUUUUUGUUUUUGCACGAUGUGAAAUAUUCUGACACAUCGAGUAAUUAUAAUAUGCACAAAAAGGUUGACUUUAGUCAAAUCGUAAAGUAGAUGAUAGCUGCUACAUUAGCUGUCUUCAGUCAUGACAGUCUUGUAAACUGUGAAGUGAAUAGUUUGACUACAUGCACACCUGCCACAGUUUAUAGGACUCUCCAGAUGGCUAGCUGCUCUGACCAUCUUGUAGUGAAUUUAACAUUAGCAUCUACGAAAGGAACAUAUUGAAAAGGACUCUGCAUACUGUGAAUCUUGUGGCUGAGAGCCAGAAGCUACACAUUGGAUAUACAGUAAAAUACACAACAGACACACAAAGAUAAGGACUGUACAUUGGAGACAAUGUGUGCCAGCUUAUCAACAAAUAAGUGAUAAAUCAGCAGGACACCCAUUUUUGAAAAGGAAAGUCCUCUUGCUGUAUGAUGAACCCCUGACCAGCUAGGUGUAGACCAGAGGGUACUGCAUGGCUUUUCAGGAUGCUGAGGUAGCCCUUUUGGUCCAGGGUGCCAGUCACUCUGUGCAAGUCACCAACUCUGAAUCCAGCGAAGAAGCCCCAGACCAUCACACUUCCUCCUCCACGCUUUUAUAAAGAGGGUUUGUAAGUGAUCAACAAAAGUUGGGACACCUGUAGGAACUGUUUGCAUCAACUUUCAAGCCUUCAUUUACUGCCAUUGUCAUUGAAAUUACACAUACCUUUGCAAGAUGUGAAGACACCACAAAUCUAUAGCCAAAGGUAGAUGGUGUCUCUUUUUUAACAGUAGUUUGUUGAAGCCCUUGAUUUGAUGGUAUCAGUCUGACGCUACUUCAUAAUUCUGCAUCUGUAAAACUGUUUCUCACAUCGUUAAUUGUCACAUCAUAUCAUAAUUGAUGUGUUACAGCAGUAAUUGCACUGUAAUGCAUUUCAGCAAUAAAACAUGAAACUCCACCUUUGCUAAAAAAAAGUUGGAUUAUUUUGUAGCAGCAUGGUGUCAUGUGACUGUGAUGUAUUCACAGCUCUUGCACAGCCUGCAGAUGUACGAUGAA